UACGGGGGGGGCAAGCGUUGUUCGGAAUCACUGGGCGUAAAGGGAGCGUAGGCGGGUUUCUAAGUCAGGUGUUUAAUCCCGGGGCCCAACCCCGGACAGGCACUUGAAACUGGGAAUCUUGAAUAGUGGAGAGGUCAGUGGAAUUGGGGGUGUAGCGGUGGAAUGCGUAGAGAUCCCCAAGAACACCAGUUGCGAAGGCGGCUGACUGGACACAUAUUGACGCUGAGGCUCGAAAGCAUGGGGAGCAAACAGG
rnacentral:rRNA from 1 species